rnacentral:rRNA from 1 species
GAAACCAACAGGGAUUGCCUCAGUAGCGGCGAGUGAAGCGGCAAAAGCUCAAAUUUGAAAUCUGGCGUCUUUGGCGUCCGAGUUGUAAUUUGAAGAAGGUAUCUUUGGGCCCGGCUCUUGUCUAUGUUCCUUGGAACAGGACGUCACAGAGGGUGAGAAUCCCCUGCGAUGAGAUGACCCGGGUCUGUGUAAAGUUCCUUCGACGAGUCGAGUUGUUUGGGAAUGCAGCUCUAAGUGGGUGGUAAAUUCCAUCUAAAGCUAAAUAUUGGCGAGAGACCGAUAGCGAACAAGUACAGUGAUGGAAAGAUGAAAAGAACUUUGAAAAGAGAGUGAAAAAGUACGUGAAAUUGUUGAAAGGGAAGGGCUUGAGAUCAGACUUGGUAUUUUGCAUGCUGCUCUCUCGGGGGCGGCCGCUGCGGUUUACCGGGCCAGCAUCGGUUUGGAGCGGCAGGAUAAUGGCGGAGGAAUGUGGCACGGCUUCUGCUGUGUGUUAUAG